rnacentral:tRNA from 1 species
GCCUCGAUGAGAUCGUCUGGUGGCGGUUGCGGACUUCAAAUCCGUAGAGGUGUUACAGCCUAGUAGUUCGAUUCUACCUUUGGGGC